CUCUCUCUCCCUCAGGCUGGAAUUGUAUGAUUGUGAAGACAUCGCGAACCUUAAAGGUUGAGAAGUGAACGGAUUAUACGGCGAACUGAGACGACGUGAAAAAGGGGAUUGGAAGCGGCAUUGAUGUGAGUACUAAGAGCCAGUCGAAAGUGCCCUGUAUAUUGACCUGGCGUUGUGUAGAUCUCUCCAGGAGGAGGAGGGCGGCCCUACCCCUAAUAUAGCGUGGUGGGAGAGCCGAAGGAAUACUUAUUGAAGUAGUCACAACGACGACAUCACUAGCUAGGCCGCAUAUUCCAUCGCCAGAUCCGAACCAAGCGAAGUGAAGGAAGACGGGUGUCCUUUUCGUACACUGAGUGUGGUGGGUGAGUCUUCGUGCUGUGAAAACCUAUAAUUUUGACGUGGUGUUGUAUAUUGCUGUGGGCUGCUGUGUAUUGCCGUGUGUCCUGUCAGAUAAACCCCCGCCUUCACGCACUUCGUCGCGGGAGGACAAGGAGACUGCUGGUCCUAGCCUAGUUCAGUACAGUAUAUGUUGUGAGCGUGCUUCAGAUCUCCGGAGAUAGCACGGUACGCUGUGUCCAGCCCAGAGGUGAAAGCCAUCCAAAGCAGAGUAACUGUGCUUUGUGUCCAAGUUGAUACCUGUGGAGAGGAAAGGAAAGAGAGAUUGAUACCUGUGGAGAGAAAAGGAGAGAGAGGGAAUAACACGAGGAGGAAUAGAGCGAACCCUGUACUUACAGUACGCUGUGUCCAGCCCAGAGGUGAGAGCCAUUCAAAGCAAACUAACUGUGCUAUUGUGCCCAAGUUGAUACCUGUGGAGAGAAAAGGAAAGAGAGAUUGAUACCUGUGGAGAGAAAAGGAGAGAGAGGGAAUAACACGAGGAGGAAUAGAGCGAACCCUGUACUUACAGUACGCUGUGUCCAGCCCAGAGGUGAGAGCCAUUCAAAGCAAACUAACUGUGCUAUUGUGCCCAAGUUGAUACCUGUGGAGAGAAAAGGAGAGAGAGUGGGUAACACGAGGAGAGACCGAGGAAACCUGUACUUACGCCGCUGCCUGUGGAGAAAGAGAAAGCGAGUGAGCACCCAAGGAACGAACUGUGUGAACCAGUACUUACUGUGAGCUGUAAUCAGCGAAGAGGUGAGAGCAAAACCAAGCUGAACUAACUGUGCCUGUGUGUCCCAGCCGUUGCCUGUGGAGAAAGAGAAA
rnacentral:lncRNA from 12 species